ACCAUCAGCCGCUGCUAUACCU
rnacentral:misc_RNA from 1 species